rnacentral:rRNA from 1 species
AUUGAACGCUGGCGGCAGGCCUAACACAUGCAAGUCGAGCGAGCGGCGGACGGGUGAGUAAUGUCUGGGAAACUGCCUGAUGGAGGGGGAUAACUACUGGAAACGGUAGCUAAUACCGCAUACCAUCAGAUGUGCCCAGAUGGGAUUCGCAAGUAGGUGGGGGAACGGCUCACCUAGGCGAGGAUCCCUAGCUGGGCUGAGAGGAUGGCCCGCCACACUGGAACUGGGACACGGUCCAGACUCCUACGGGAGGCAGCAGUGGGGAAUAUUGCACAAUGGGCGCAAGCCUGAUGCAGCCAUGCCGGGUGUGUGGAGAAGGCCUUCGGGUUGGAAAGCACUUUCAGCGGGGGGGCGUUACCCGCAGAAGAAGCACCGGCUAACUCCGUGCCAGCAGCCGCGGUAAUUAC